rnacentral:tRNA from 1 species
AGUUGGUAGAGCAGCGCACUGAAGAUGCGCGGGUCCGCGGUUCAAGUCCGCGAGUUGCCA